rnacentral:rRNA from 1 species
UACAGAGGGGGCAAGCGUUGUUCGGAAUUACUGGGCGUAAAGGGCGCGUAGGCGGCCCACUAAGUCGAACGUGAAAUCCCUGGGCUCAACCCAGGAACUGCGUCCGAUACUGGUGGGCUCGAAUCCGGGAGAGGGAUGUGGAAUUCCAGGUGUAGCGGUGAAAUGCGUAGAUAUCUGGAGGAACACCGGUGGCGAAGGCGACAUCCUGGACCGGUAUUGACGCUGAGGCGCGAAAGCCAGGGGAGCAAACGGG